CGAGCGGAACGAGUUAUCUGAACCUUCGGGGAACGAUAACGGCGUCGAGCGGCGGACGGGUGAGUAAUGCCUAGGAAAUUGCCUUGAUGUGGGGGAUAACCAUUGGAAACGAUGGCUAAUACCGCAUAAUGCCUACGGGCCAAAGAGGGGGACCUUCGGGCCUCUCGCGUCAAGAUAUGCCUAGGUGGGAUUAGCUAGUUGGUGAGGUAAUGGCUCACCAAGGCGACGAUCCCUAGCUGGUCUGAGAGGAUGAUCAGCCACACUGGAACUGAGACACGGUCCAGACUCCUACGGGAGGCAGCAGUGGGGAAUAUUGCACAAUGGGCGCAAGCCUGAUGCAGCCAUGCCGCGUGUAUGAAGAAGGCCUUCGGGUUGUAAAGUACUUUCAGCAGUGAGGAAGGGGGUGUCGUUAAUAGCGGCAUCUCUUGACGUUAGCUGCAGAAGAAGCACCGGCUAACUCCGUGCCAGCAGCCGCGGUAAUACGGAGGGUGCGAGCGUUAAUCGGAAUUACUGGGCGUAAAGCGCAUGCAGGUGGUUUGUUAAGUCAGAUGUGAAAGCCCGGGGCUCAACCUCGGAACUGCAUUUGAAACUGGCAAACUAGAGUACUGUAGAGGGGGGUAGAAUUUCAGGUGUAGCGGUGAAAUGCGUAGAGAUCUGAAGGAAUACCAGUGGCGAAGGCGGCCCCCUGGACAGAU
rnacentral:rRNA from 1 species